UGGGGAAUUUUGGACAAUGGGCGCAAGCCUGAUCCAGCAAUGCCGCGUGCAGGAUGAAGGCCUUCGGGUUGUAAACUGCUUUUGUACGGAACGAAACGGUCUUUUCUAAUACAGAAGGCUAAUGACGGUACCGUAAGAAUAAGCACCGGCUAACUACGUGCCAGCAGCCGCGGUAAUACGUAGGGUGCGAGCGUUAAUCGGAAUUACUGGGCGUAAAGCGUGCGCAGGCGGUUAUGCAAGACAGAUGUGAAAUCCCCGGGCUCAACCUGGGAACUGCAUUUGUGACUGCAUAGCUGGAGUGCGGCAGAGGGGGAUGGAAUUCCGCGUGUAGCAGUGAAAUGCGUAGAUAUGCGGAGGAACACCGAUGGCGAAGGCAAUCCCCUGGGCCUGCACUGACGCUCAUGCACGAAAGCGUGGGGAGCAAACA
rnacentral:rRNA from 1 species